rnacentral:rRNA from 2 species
GACAGAGGGUGCAAACGUUGUUCGGAAUUACUGGGCGUAAAGCGCGUGUAGGCGGCUCGGCAAGUCGGGUGUGAAAGCCCUGGGCUUAACCUAGGAAGUGCACUCGAAACUGCCAAGCUUGAGUUCUGGAGAGGAAGGCGGAAUUCUCGGUGUAGAGGUGAAAUUCGUAGAUAUCGAGAGGAACACCGGUGGCGAAGGCGGCCUUCUGGACAGCAACUGACGCUGAGACGCGAAAGCGUGGGGAGCAAACAGG